AUGAAUUUCAGUGUGGGAUUGCAGGGGUUGCACAUAAUUCUACUGAUUAAUGCAAUUUCUGUUCUUGUAACGCUGGAAAUCCCUGCAAAUAUUUCAAUGUGUAAGACACUCACAACAGACAACGGAAUGUAUCAUUUAUACGUGCUUUUGAGUCUUACAAUUUUAAACAUUCAAGUGCUCAAUUCAGUACUUGCGCACUCUGUGGCUCUGCAAACAUUCGUCAGCGUUUUUCAUUCAGAGCGUGGAAGAGAGAAAAGGUAUCAGGCGAAGCGAGACAAUAAAGACAAGUGUACAGGUAAGGCAGAGUAGUGCAACAUGUGUGCUGUUGCAGCCUGGGCGUGUUACACCUGGCCUCCAUGUCAACCAGGCCGUGUCUCUACGGGAAGAGAGCAGAGAGGAGAGAGAGAGAGAGAGAAGCGCUGGCAUGCUGCUGGUACGGUAAAGGGCACUCGGGAAUCAGGGACGCAGGUGGAAAAGAUCCCCCAUCCAGCAUCUAAUCAGACAGAAGCCACUCUCACAAAACGCAGACAAUCUCAUUCAAUUUACUCCAGUGAAAUGUAAGACUCGUCGGAAAAACACACUGCUCUCCGUGUGGGAAGUGGGGGCAAUUAAAACGGACAGGUACUACACAGGCACUGUGAACAGCUCCCUUCACACAGCUCCACCUGAGGAGUUUAGUCAGGUAUAGUACGAUGGCAGGUCUUUCUCCAUAUAUAUACAUACACACAACAUGAAACAAAUAGAUAUAUUAUCAAAUGAAAUUGAAAUGAACGUACAUCCAAAUACAGAGGGAAGAACGGAACAAACAUCGACCUACGGGCAUCUUCACCACCGAGUGAGUGCAAAAACAUUGGAAUGUGGGAGUAGAUUUACAUGACAGGAACGGGACAGGUUCAGUUCACAAAUGAAGAAGCACACGCUCGUGCUCCACCUCGACUGAAAUACAAACAUCUGCCUUUUCCAUUCAGCAUGUGGCAUAAAUCAGUUCUGUCAAAUGAUCAAACACGUUGCUUAAAAGUAAAUCAUAAUAGCAAAAGUGAUUUCAGUGCAGUCUGCUGUACUUCAGAUGCCACUGAUUACAUUAUUGAAGUAGAAAAAGGAGACUGGAGACUCUUUUUGAUGAUUGCCAGUAUUUUCUCAGACUGGCCCAGAGCGCUGUAAGAGCGCCUCAGUGCUGCUACGGGACAAAAAGUCUCCCCCCUAUGCUUCAAUGAUUGGGUUUCAGUGUUUGACAUAAAGAAAAGCUCAAAGAACAAACUAGCUAAUAGCUCAGGGUUUUUGAAAUGUCUACUCGCUACUCUGUCGUAAGGACAUUUUUGGGACAAAUCGCAGUCCAAACGCAGCAUUGCUGUGAAAAUAGCAAUUGAUUUCACAUUUGCAGAUUCGCUUCAGCAUAAAUUCAGUUUCUGUUUCUUCACGGCAAGUGAAGCUACAUAAUUUUAUGACAACUUUCACUGCUACUUGACUUCAAAACGGAGAAAAAAAACAAACAACAACAACGGGUGGAAAGCAUUAGAGUCAAAUGAUACAUUCAUCCACACUGCAG
rnacentral:lncRNA from 1 species